rnacentral:tRNA from 1 species
GUGGCUGUAGUUCAACGGUAGAGCACAGGAUUGUGGCUCCUGGUGUUGCGGGUUCGAGUCCCGUCAGCCACC